ACCGGGAGAAAGAGCCGAGUCACGGACGGGAGCUUGGGGACAGCCCUGCGGGGCGAGGGGCCGGCGCUGCCGGGCGGGGGUGCUGUCAGCCGCUGUGGGGAGGCCGUCGCGAAUUCCUGUCAGGAGCAGCAGGCGCUCCCCUCUACCCUUCGUGCCUUUAUUUUUAUUUAUUUUUUUCUUCGUUCCUCCACCUCGUUUCCUCCUCCCUAGCGUUCACUGAGGGUGCAGCGAGGUUAUAGGGCCGAGGCUGUAGCUCUUGGUUACGUUACGUGUGUCUCGAGGAGCCGGGUGCGGGCUCGGAGCCUCCCGCAGCCCGCCAUUUUACCUCAGCGCCCGCAGCCGAGGGAGCCCUGCCUCGGCGGGCCGCGCUGUGGUUGCCCUCCUCUUCCCACAGUGACUGCCUCACGCCACCAAACCUUGGAGUUUGGGGCCCCCUGGAAGGCACAGAGCUUGGCUUGCUGCUGAAGAAGGUCCUUCCUUAGCUUUCUUUGCUGCAGGAUACAUUUGAUUCAUCAUCAUCCUCAACAAAUAUAAAGGCUGCUUUCCUAAAUGUUACAGUAGAAAUGUGAACCUUAACUGAAGUUAUUAGUAUCCUGUUCAGACACAGAAGCCAGCACGAGGAACUAAAACGACUACUAGGAAUGAAGAAAUAACAUUCCCAGUAUGAAGGAAAAGAAGGAACAACGAGGAAGCAGGUGAAGGAAGAGGCAUUUACAGAAGAAGAGUAAAGAAAUUCACCAAAGCAAAUCCAUGAAGGGAUUGCUUUGGAGGUCAGGGAUUCUCAUACUAGAUGCAUAUGCCAUUGAGCUGACAAUACCGAAGCUUUUUUGCCCCCAUCAUUUUCUACCCUAUUAAGACUGACAUUUUGUCUUAGUCCUUACACCUCUGUAGGGUAUCACUAAUGGAACCUACCAAUUGCAGUUUACCACAGACGGGCCUGAAGUUAUAUCAGCUUUUCUGAUGUUAAGAUUCAGAAGCACAUUUUUACAGCAACUUUUAGGCAUGUCUUGCAUUUUUGAAUGAGGUCAACAGAUGGGGAUUUAUGUAAAUAAGACCCUUGGCUUUAAAGGCAGAAGAGUAUAUAGAUGUAGCAACAGUUACAGAUAUUUAGAUCAGAGAAUGUGUGUAAUACACACAGUGUUCAUGUGGGUAUGGGUGUAUGUUUAUAUAAUAUGAAUAUUUGUGGGUAUUCUUUGUGUGCAUAUAUAUCAACAGCAAAGCACUUGGUGAUGUGGUGAUAGCAUUUCCUAUCACACAUCUUUGCACUUAUUUUGUUUCUUAAACAAGAUAGUGAUCUUCUAACUCAGCAGCAUGUAAUGUAAGCAUGAAAUGUGGUGAUGAUAAGACUUCUGUAAAACAUAUUAUUGUCAAGUGGAUCUAUAUUACAUGCACAGUGAAGUGACAGCUUACAUGAGACAGCAUUAUCUCUGUGGGUCUUCCAAAAAUAAAUAUAAUCCCUAUCAGUUUUUGCAGGAAAGUGACCUGUUUUUCCAGCUCCAUUUCAUUUAAAAAUUCUAUUCCUAGAUACUUAAAGUGUUAAAAUAGCCUUUUUUUU